CCUACGGGUGGCAGCAGUGGGGAAUAUUGCACAAUGGGGGCAACCCUGAUGCAGCGACGCCGCGUGAGUGAAGAAGUAUUUCGGUAUGUAAAGCUCUAUCAGCAGGGAAGAAAAUGACGGUAUCUGUUUAAUAAGCCCCUGCUAACUCCGUGCCAGCAGCCGCGGUAAUACGUAGGGGGAAAGCGUUAUCUGGAUUUACUGGGUGUAAAGGGAGCGUAGACGGCAGCACAAGUCUGGAGUGAAAUGCCGGGGCUUAACCCCGGAACUGCUUUGGUAACUGUGCAGCGAGAGUGCAGGAGAGGUAAGUGGAAUUCCUAGUGUAGCGGUGAAAUGCGUAGAGAUUAGGAGGAACACCAGUGGCGAAGGCGGCUUACUGGACUGUAACUGACGUUGAGGCGCGAAAGCGUGGGGAGCAAACAGGAUUAGAUACCCGAGUAGUC
rnacentral:rRNA from 1 species